UGUUGAGAAAUGAACCUCCUGCUGUUGAAAUUCCUACACCCUGAAGUACUGCAAUAAAUAGAAGUAGCUAACUAGAGUUUUUUACUUUAAUAAUGAAAGAGAUUUGUUUAAAACCAUACCAAAUUAACUGUUUUAUAACAAGCGAGUAGAGUUGGUUAGAUUCUUAAACCAUUGAAAAAUAGGCCUUUCUCCCACUGUACAAGUUUUCAAGGAUACUUUGAGGAACCACUGCAGUACUCUCAGAGGCUCCACUUCUUUUCGAACUCAUGGUCAACCCUUCAUCUCUGCUUUGUUCCCUGCUGGAUACCGCAGGCAUACAGAAGACGAAGAAAAUUCAUCACCAGCAGACCAGCAAUGUUAAAAGAAUUCCCCCAGUAAAAUGGUAGCAUAUAGAAGCUUGGAUCUGAACAAAGAACGUAGAAUACCUGGCAAAGGAAAUAUACACAUGAAUAUAAUUUUUGUUAUUUAAAAAUUUGUCCAAUAGAAAAUUGACUUUUAAAGCAAAAAUAAAAACAAUGUACUGUGGAGUUUAUAACAUAUGAAGAAGUACAGUAUAUGAUAAAAAUUGCACAAAGGCAGGGAGAAGGGAAUGGAAGUAUACUGUUGUAAGAAUAUUAUGAAAUGUGAAGAUGUCUUAUAUUAAGGUAGACACUGAUAAAUCCUAGAACAACAAAAUAAAAGAGGUAUAGCUCAUAAGGCAUUAUAGGAGAUAUAAUGAAAUAAUAAAAUAACAAUCUAAAAGAUGGCAUCAGGAAAAAAAGUAAAAAGAAAAGACAACAGAUGAGACAAAU